AGGAACAGGGAGGAGUAGAGUGAGAAGUCUGAGAGGAAAGAAGAAGAGAGGAGAGAGAAAGGGAAGAGAAGAAAAGAGGGGCGGAAAUGUGUUAAGAAUAACCGUUUUUUUAGGGUUUUUUAGGUUUUUUUUUUUAUAUUUAAUUACAACGGAUUUUAUAUUCCGUCGGAAAGCCCACAAAUUCCAACGGAUUUGUAUUCCGUAGGAAAUCCGUCGGAAUUUACGAAGAAAAAAUGUCCGUCGGAAAUGGUCCGUCGGAAAUCGGCCUAUCUUUAGUAGUGUUGUAAAUUACCACCCAAAAAUGUACCUGUUUUUGAACUAACCACCUGUUUAAUUUUUUAUUUUAUUUUAUCAUCCCUUAAUUAAAUAAUCACUCAGAUUACCACCCAUUUCAAAAUUCCGAUAGAUUUUCUGUCUGUGGGCCCCACCUAACCACUAUUUUAACCCUUUUCACUGAUCCCCCCGGAUUUUUUCUCCCCCCAUCUUUUCUCUUUUCUGCAACCAUUUUUCAUACCUUUUUCAACCUUCAAUCCUUCCAUUUCAAGCUCACUUCCAAAUCUUCCUCUUCUUCUUCAUCUGCAAUUCCCCACCGGCAGCACCACCCACCAAUUUCCUCGACAGCCACCAUAAUCAACCUCACCGCCCUUAACAUACACCACUAGCCACUGCAAUCUACCCCACCACCCCCAACACACCUCACCGACCACCGCCUUCAACUUCACUGCCCUCCACACACAUCUCACCGCCCUGAACAAACCCUCAUCGACCACCGCCUUCAACCGCAUACCAUCGAACAUUUCGACCGCCAGUCGCAAGGCACAUAAUGAAAUCCUAAAAAAAACUUGCCCCCACCCCUCACCUCCCUGAAAUCUAACGUAUACAGCCCGAAUUCAACUAACAAUAAUCGAUCUUUACAUCCUUUACUUUGGGCUUGCAGAAUUCAACUAACAAUAAUCGAUUUUUGCAAUUUUUGUAAUUGAUUUUCAAAUUGCAGAAAUCAAAGUAGCCGACCCCACUGUUCUUCUUGUUGUUGUAUUUAGGGUUGAAUUUAGGGUAAAUUACUAAAGAAUUGUCCUACAAAUCAAUCAGAAAAUAAAAUUUUGCAAUUAAAUUGGGGAAAUUAGGUUGAUAAUCAAUUGAAUUGGGGCUUUGUAUGCUGAAAUUGACGGGCUGCUGCUAUCUUUAAUUGAAGUGGGCUGGUUGUGAUUUGCGAUUGGUGCUGCCGUGAAGAGCUUCUGUUGGUGGCGAAUGGUGGCGAGUGCGGCUGUGAUUUUUGCUGGGCUGCCGCCAAUUGUUGUCUCUGUUGUGGUGUUUGUGAUUGUGGAGCGGCUGAUAUGUUGGUCAAAUCGGAGCAGCGCAACUGAUUGCGAUGGACUGGUGCUGAUAGGUCUGGGCUUCGUUCUGCUGCUGCUAGAGGAUCUGAUGUUGCUACCUGUUGGUUCCUCCAUCAGCUGGGGCUCUUAAGAUAAACAUGGAUGCUGGCUUUGUGGGUGAGAUGGGCUGUGGUCUGGGAGCUAUUAUUAGGGGCGGGGAUGGUGCUGUUGUGGCGGAUGGUAUUCAGCUGGAAAGGAGAAAAAUGGAGGAGAGAGAAAGUGGGGGAAGGGGGAGAAAGAAGAAUUUGUCGGAAGGUCAGAGAAAAAUGGAGGAUUAAAGGUUGAAGAUGGUAGGAAGUUGGAGAGAGAAAAAAUCGAGGGAAAAAAUUAAAAUAUGGGGAAAAUUUUUAAAUUACCAUCCGUUAGGUAGGGCCCACAGAUGGAAAAUCAUUGGAAUUUUAAAAUAGAUUUGAUAUCGUGCGUUGUUGAUUGUUGAUGAGUUAUUUAUGCGUUCAAAGCCAUUUAGAGCCCUAAUUACUGAGCCAACUCAUGGGGCAGUGAGCCGAAUCAAUUGGUUGAGUCAGGUUUCCGGUGUCUUGGGUUGUCAAUGGGGUGAUGAGGGUAAAGGGAAGUUUGUUGAUAUUUUGGCGCAGCAUUUUGAUGUCGUCAGGUAAAUCCUCAUAUGCACCGGCUGAAGCUUUGUGACUUUGGAAGCACAAAAGUUCUGAUAAAAGGUGAGCCUAAUGUAUCUUAUAUCUACUCUAGAUACUAUAGAGCACCAGAGUUAAUAUUCGGAGCAACAGAAUAAACUACAACUAUUGACGUCUGGCCUGCUGGCUGUGUGCUUGCAGAACUGCUCUUGGACAGAAUUGCAAGAUAUUCUUCCUGGAAUCAUCAAUCAAUUGGGUAAAUGUUUAACAGUCCUCUCCUUUCCCGAAGAAAUGGAACUUGUUUCGAAAUUCAUGCUAAAGAAAUGGAACUUGUUUUGAAAUUAGGCCCGCUGUGUUCCCAUCCUAAGCUAGAGGGAAGGCCUAUAUAAUGAAGGAGCUAUAUAAAGAGUGUGCUCAGUCUCUACAAGUUGAGUUGUUGUUGAGUGGUAAAGAUUUUGAUACAAUUAAGAGUGCGAAUGCUCGAUAAUUGAGGCUUUUGAGGAUGUGGACUUGAGAUUAUCGAAAUGGUAAUCUCACGGUCCGGGAAAGCUGAAGUGUUGACUGAUCCUCAUAGACCCUAUGGAAGCAACAAGGCAUCACUUCAGGAAAUUAGAAGAAUUAAUGAAGCAGCAGGUGGAUGGGUAGUGUAUCGGGUCGAAGAGCUGAGAUUGGGCGAGGCUGGUAUACACAAAGGCAACUGCAGACAGGCCAAGAAAACAGAAGUAAAGUAUGGCAGAUAACACCUAGGAAUGCUGAUAACGAGACAUGUUCUGAUUUCACGACCCCACAAAAAAGACUUCUAAAUUCGAUUGAAGAGGUUAAGGAAGUUUGGCUGGAGGAUUUUAAGAAACUAGAGAAGACUCCUGCUGCCAAGAGGGCAGAAAGAAACUAGAGAAGACUCUUGCGUACAUUGAUGUCAAUGAGAUGACCCAUGGAGUAUGCCUAGAUGGGAAGGGAGUUUUGUGCACUUACAAGUUCUGAUGAUCCCAUAUCCUAAGUCGAUCAUCUUCUGAUGAUCCCAUAUCCUAAUACUACUACUACUAUCCUUCAGCUAUGCUUGUGCUGUCGCUCACAGCAACUAGUUUAGCUAUACUUGUAAUGGACCUUGAUUAUUGGCUUUAAUUAAUAAAAUC